AUUGAACGCUGGCGGCAGGCCUAACACAUGCAAGUCGAGCGGCAGCACGGGUACUUGUACCUGGUGGCGAGCGGCGGACGGGUGAGUAAUGCCUAGGAAUCUGCCUGGUAGUGGGGGAUAACGCUCGGAAACGGACGCUAAUACCGCAUNCGUCCUACGGGAGAAAGCAGGGGACCUUCGGGCCUUGCGCUAUCAGAUGAGCCUAGGUCGGAUUAGCUAGUUGGUGAGGUAAUGGCUCACCAAGGCGACGAUCCGUAACUGGUCUGAGAGGAUGAUCAGUCACACUGGAAAUGAGACACGGUCCAGACUCCUACGGGAGGCAGCAGUGGGGAAUAUUGGACAAUGGGAGAAAGCCUGAUCCANCCAUGCCGCGUGUGUGAAGAAGGUCUUCGGAUUGUAAAGCACUUUAAGUUGGGAGGAAGGGCAUUUACCUAAUACGUAAGUGUUUUGACGUUACCGACAGAAUAAGCACC
rnacentral:rRNA from 1 species